UGCCAGCAGCCGCGGUAAUACAUAGGGGUCAAGCGUUGUCCGGAUUUAUUGGGCGUAAAGAGUUCGUAGGUGGUUGAAGUAGUUGGUGGUGAAAUCCCAGCGCUUAACUCUGGAACUGCCAUCAAAACUUUUCAGCUAGAGUUUGAUAGAGGAAAGCAGAAUUUCUAGUGUAGAGGUGAAAUUCGUAGAUAUUAGAAAGAAUACCAAUUGCGAAGGCAGCUUUCUGGAUCAUUACUGACACUGAGGAACGAAAGCAUGGGUAGCGAAGAGGAUUAGAUA
rnacentral:rRNA from 1 species